rnacentral:rRNA from 1 species
UUUCUUGGGGAAGGUUCGUCCGCCCAAGGUAAGCCGGGAGCUAAGGCGAGGCCGAGAGGCGUAGUCGAUGCACAUACGGUAGAAAUUCCGUAACCACCGAAACUUAAGUCAGAGGGACACUUAGGGAUAGCGGAACCCGGGCGUUGGUUGACCCGGGCGUAAGGGACUGAAAAAUAGUAGGGAAGUCCGCGAUGCCCUGAGGCGAGAAAAGCUCUGAUGGAUGCUAAGGUGCCCGUACCGCAAACCGACACAGGUAGAUGAGGAGAGAAUCCUAAGGCCAACGGGAGAAGGGUUGUCAAGGAACUCGGCAAGUUAACCCCGUAACUUCGGAAUAAGGGGAGCCUCGCAAGAGGCCGCAGUGAAUAGGCCCAAGCAACUGUUUACCAAAAACACAGGUCUAUGCUAAAUCGAAAGAUGACGUAUAUGGGCUGACGCCUGCCCGGUGCUGGAAGGUUAAGAGGAGGGCUUAGCGCAAGCGAAGGUCUGAAUUGAAGCCCCAGUAAACGGCGGCCGUAACUAUAACGGUCCUAAGGUAGCGAAAUUCCUUGUCAGGUAAGUUCUGACCCGCACGAAUGGCGUAAUGAUUUGGGCACUGUCUCGACAGCCCACCCGGCGAAAUUGUAGUACUGGUGAAGAUGCCAGUUACCCGCAACUAGACGGAAAGACCCCAUGGAGCUUUACUGUAGCUUAAUACUGAAGAUCGGUAAUGCAUGUACAGGAUAGGUGGGAGACUUGGAAGCCAGGCCGUCAGCUUUGGUGGAGUCAACCUUGGGAUACCACUCUUGUAUUGCUGGUUUUCUAACCUGCGGCCCUGAAUCGGGUCGGGGGACACUGUUAGGUGGGCAGUUUGACUGGGGCGGUCGCCUCCAAAAGAGUAACGGAGGCGCUCAAAGGUUCGUUCAGCACGGACGGAAAUCGUGCAGUGAGUGUAAACGCAUAAACGAGCCUAACUGCGAGACCGACGGGUCGAGCAGUAACGAAAGUUGGAGUUAGUGAUCCGGUGGUAUGUGAGUGGAAAUGCCAUCGCUCAACGGAUAAAAGCUACCCUGGGGAUAACAGGCUGAUCUCCCCCAAGCGUCCACAGCGACGGGGAGGUUUGGCACCUCGAUGUCGGCUCGUCGCAUCCUGGGGCUGAAUUCGGUCCCAAGGGUUUGGCUGUUCGCCAAUUAAAGCGGCACGCGAGCUGGGUUCAGAACGUCGUGAGACAGUUCGGUCCCUAUCUGUUGCGGGCGUAAGAGAUUUGAAGGGAGCUGUCCUUAGUACGAGAGGACCGGGAUGGACGUACCUCUGGUGCACCAGUUGUCGUGCCAACGGCACAGCUGGGUAGCUAUGUACGGACGGGAUAAACGCUGAAGGCAUCUAAGCGUGAAGCCCCCCCUAAGAUGAGAUCUCUCAUCCUUUAUGGAGUAAGGGCCCAGGAAGACUACCUGGUUGAUAGGCAGGAGGUGGAAGCGCAGUAAUGUGUGCAGCUGACCUGUACUAAUCGCCCGAGGGCUUGACCU